GGCGAGAACAUUGUUUGGCGGGUAGUUUGACUGGGGUGGUCGCCUCCAAAAAGGUAACGGAGGCUUUCAAAGGUAAGCUCAGUACGCUUGGUAACCGUACGCGGAGUGCAAUAGCAUAAGCUUGCUUGACUGUGAGGCAGACAAGCCGAGCAGGGUCGAAAGACGGAUAUAGUGAUCCGGUGGUUCUGCAUGGAAGGGCCAUCGCUCAAAGGAUAAAAGGUACGCUGGGGAUAACAGGCUGAUCUCCCCCAAGAGCUCAUAUCGACGGGGAGGUUUGGCACCUCGAUGUCGGCUCGUCACAUCCUGGGGCUGGAGAAGGUCCCAAGGGUUGAGCUGUUCGCUCAUUAAAGUGGCACGCGAGCUGGGUUCAGAACGUCGCGAGACAGUUCGGUCCCUAUCUGUUGUGGGCGUUGGAAGUUUGAGUGGGGCUGACCUUAGUACGAGAGGACCGGGUUGGACUAACCUCUGGUGAAUCUGUUAUGCCGCCAGGUGUACUGCAGAGUAGCUACGUUGGGAAUAGAUAAGCGCUGAAAGCAUCUAAGUGCGAAACUAGCCACAAGAUGAGACUUCCAUUGAGGAUCGUAGCAGACUACUACGUUGAUAGGUUACAGGUAUAAAGGUGGUGACAUCAAAGCCGAGUAAUACUAAUAAUCCGAAGCUUUCUCA
rnacentral:rRNA from 1 species